AACGCACAUUGCGCCCUUUGGUAUUCCGAAGGGCAUGCCUGUUCGAGCGUCAUUAUCACCCCUCAAGCCCUCGGCUUGGUGUUGGACGGUUUGGUGGAGACCCCCUUCGCGGGCUUCUACCCCUCCCAAAGACAAUGACGGCGGCCUCGUUGGACCCCCGGUACACUGAGUUCUUCACGGGACACGUAUCGGACACAUGGGUUUACGGGACACGGUCUGCCUCCCCUCAGGGAGAAUCUUUUUUAUCAAGGUUGACCUCGGAUCAGGUAGGGAUACCCGCUGAACUUAA
rnacentral:misc_RNA from 1 species